ACGGGUGAGUAAUGUCUGGGGAUCUGCCCGAUAGAGGGGGAUAACCACUGGAAACGGUGGCUAAUACCGCAUAACGUCGCAAGACCAAAGAGGGGGACCUUCGGGCCUCUCACUAUCGGGUGAACCCAGAUGGGAUUAGCUAGUAGGCGGGGUAACGGCCCACCUAGGCGACGAUCCCUAGCUGGUCUGAGAGGAUGACCAGCCACACUGGAACUGAGACACGGUCCAGACUCCUACGGGAGGCAGCAGUGGGGAAUAUUGCACAAUGGGCGCAAGCCUGAUGCAGCCAUGCCGCGUGUAUGAAGAAGGCCUUCGGGUUGUAAAGUACUUUCAGCGGGGAGGAAGGCGAUGUGGUUAAUAACCGCGUCGAUUGACGUUACCCGCAGAAGAAGCACCGGCUAACUCCGUGCCAGCAGCCGCGGUAAUACGGAGGGUGCAAGCGUUAAUCGGAAUUACUGGGCGUAAAGCGCACGCAGGCGGUCUGUUAAGUCAGAUGUGAAAUCCCCGGGCUUAACCUGGGAACUGCAUUUGAAACUGGCAGGCUUGAGUCUCGUAGAGGGGGGUAGAAUUCCAGGUGUAGC
rnacentral:rRNA from 1 species